rnacentral:tRNA from 1 species
CCGAAUGUGGUGUUUAAUGGCAGCAUGCUCCGUUUGGGGCGGUGGGGAGUAGGUUCGAGUCCUACCAUUCGGACCA